rnacentral:rRNA from 1 species
UACGGAGGGGGCUAGCGUUGUUCGGAAUUACUGGGCGUAAAGCGCACGUAGGCGGCUUUGUAAGUUAGAGGUGAAAGCCCAGGGCUUAACCCUGGAAUUACCUUUAAGACUGCAUCGCUAGAAUCGUGGAGAGGUGAGUGGAAUUCCGAGUGUAGAGGUGAAAUUCGUAGAUAUUCGGAAGAACACCAGUGGCGAAGGCGACUCACUGGACACGUAUUGACGCUGAGGUGCGAAAGCGUGGGGAGCAAACAGG